rnacentral:rRNA from 1 species
UCCGUAGGCGGAUUGAUAAGUCAGAGGUGAAAUCCCACAGCUUAACUGUGGAACUGCCUUUGAAACUGUUAAUCUUGAGUUAUAUGGAAGUAGAUAGAAUGUGUAGUGUAGCGGUGAAAUGCAUAGAGAUUACACAGAAUACCGAUUGCGAAGGCAGUCUACUACGUAUAUACUGACGCUAAUGGACGAAAGCGUGGGGAGCGAACAGGAUUAGAUACCCUGGUAGUCC